rnacentral:lncRNA from 1 species
GCUUUGUCUCUCUCUCCCUCCCCUUCACCUUCAAUGGUGCUGAUUGACCAAGCAAGACAGAGAUCUUGUGUCCUUGCCUGAGUUUGUGGGCGUUGCCUGAACUGUCAAUGCCUUAAUUCCUUUUACUGUUUAGUAUGUUUUUGUUAUGAAGUUUUAUUGUUUUCUUAGGAUGUCCUGUUUACCCUUUUCCUAAGUGAAUUAGAUAAAGAUUAUUACAGUAUUUAUAUUUCAUCUCAAAUCUUUAUUUUUCCAACAAAGGCUUGUAAGACAAAACACAUCUCUUUUGCAAAGAUCUUCAGAACCAGGGAAAAUGUCAGGAUGGUAGAAUUAAGUUCCCCUGCACCAGAGGAGAGACAGCCAGUGAGUUCAGCUCAACUGAUCUACAGAGGAAUGGGGAAGACUGGGGCAGCAGGAUAUGACGGUAACAAUGAUGAUGACAACAAUAAGGACAAUGACAAUGUUAAAGAAACUGGAAAGAAAGUUGUAUCAAAAAUGUCUGAGGGAGUUGGUAUGUUUAGCCUGGAGAUGAGAAGAUAAAGAGGUUUUGUAACAGCUAUCUUCAAAUAGCUGAUGGUCUGUCAUUGAAGAUAGGAAAAGAACAAGCUAGUAUCCAAUAAAGUGGGAUUUGAAAACCA